rnacentral:rRNA from 1 species
AUACGGGAGGCAGCAGUGGGGAAUAUUGGACAAUGGGCGCAAGCCUGAUCCAGCCAUGCCGCGUGGAUGAUGAAGGCCCUAGGGUUGUAAAGUCCUUUUAACGGGGAAGAUAAUGACGGUACCCGUAGAAUAAGCCCCGGCUAACUUCGUGCCAGCAGCCGCGGUAAUACGAAGGGGGCUAGCGUUGCUCGGAAUUACUGGGCGUAAAGCGCACGUAGGCGGCUUCUUAAGUCGGUGGUGAAAUCCUGGAGCUCAACUCCAGAACUGCCUUCGAUACUGGGAAGCUCGAGUUCGGGAGAGGUGAGUGGAACUGCGAGUGUAGAGGUGAAAUUCGUAGAUAUUCGCAAGAACACCAGUGGCGAAGGCGGCUCACUGGCCCGAUACUGACGCUGAGGUGCGAAAGCGUGGGGAGCAAACAGGAUUAGAUACCCCGGUAGC